GAUCAACGCUGGCGGCGUGCCUAAUACAUGCAAGUCGAGCGAACAGACGAGGAGCUUGCUCCUCUGACGUUAGCGGCGGACGGGUGAGUAACACGUGGAUAACCUACCUAUAAGACUGGGAUAACUUCGGGAAACCGGAGCUAAUACCGGAUAACAUGUUGAACCGCAUGGUUCAACAGUGAAAGACGGUCUUGCUGUCACUUAUAGAUGGAUCCGCGCCGCAUUAGCUAGUUGGUAAGGUAACGGCUUACCAAGGCAACGAUGCGUAGCCGACCUGAGAGGGUGAUCGGCCACACUGGAACUGAGACACGGUCCAGACUCCUACGGGAGGCAGCAGUAGGGAAUCUUCCGCAAUGGGCGAAAGCCUGACGGAGCAACGCCGCGUGAGUGAAGAAGGUCUUCGGAUCGUAAAACUCUGUUAUUAGGGAAGAACAAAUGUGUAAGUAACUAUGCACGUCUUGACGGUACCUAAUCAGAAAGCCACGGCUAACUACGUG
rnacentral:rRNA from 1 species